UUGAAAUGUGCAGACAUUACAAGCAGAGCUCAAAUUUUUCUACCGCUCCAGUAGCAGGGUUCUCGCCGCUCAUCUUCCAACAAACCUCUGCACAUUUCUCUGCCUGCCCUCCUUAAAAAUGAAUGAGGGCGGAACUUCUGCCGAAUUCAUUGUUGGUGAAAACCUGCUGUUAAGUAAAUAGUAAUAUGCUCUAAAACUUUGUGACAAACAAACUGUGCUGCCCUAUUUCCAAAUGUCCACAUGGCUGGGAGAACCUAUUCAAGUACUAUACUGAGAGCUGUGAAAGCCUGUCUGCAGAUGAAGCGGUACCAAUGAAGAGCAGUGGUUCGCAGAUCUGGUCCUGGAGACUCAAAGAUACCUUGCAACUGGAGAUUCCUUCAAAACGAUUGCCUAC